rnacentral:misc_RNA from 1 species
UACCCGCUGAACUUAAGCAUAUCAAUAAGCGGAGGAAAAGAAACCAACAGGGAUUGCCCUAGUAACGGCGAGUGAAGCGGCAUCAGCUCAAAUUUGAAAUCUGGCUCUUUCAGAGUCCGAGUUGUAAUUUGCAGAGGGCGCUUUGGCGUUGGCAGCGGUCCAAGUUCCUUGGAACAGGACGUCACAGAGGGUGAGAAUCCCGUACGUGGUCGCUGGCCUUCACCGUGUAAAGCCCCUUCGACGAGUCGAGUUGUUUGGGAAUGCAGCUCUAAAUGGGAGGUAAAUUUCUUCUAAAGCUAAAUACUGGCCAGAGACCGAUAGCGCACAAGUAGAGUGAUCGAAAGAUGAAAAGCACUUUGGAAAGAGAGUCAAAUAGCACGUGAAAUUGUUGAAAGGGAAGCGCUUGCAGCCAGACUUGCCUGUAGUUGCUCAUCCGGGCUUUUGCCCGGUGCAUUCUUCUGUAGGCAGGCCAGCAUCAGUUUGGGCGGUUGGAUAAAGGCCUCUGUCAUGUACCUCCUUUCGGGGAGGCCUUAUAGGGGAGGCGACAUGCAACCAGCCUGGACUGAGGUCCGCGCAUCUGCUAGGAUGCUGGCGUAAUGGCUGUAAGCGGCCCGUCUUGAAACACGGACCAAGGAGUCUAACAUCUAUGCGAGUGUUUGGGUGUCAAGCCCGAGCGCGCAAUGAAAGUGAACGGAGGUGGGAUCCCUUAAGGGUGCACCAUCGACCGAUCCUGAUGUCUUCGGAUGGAUUUGAGUAAGAGCAUGGCUGUUGGGACCCGAAAGAUGGUGAACUAUGCUUGAAUAGGGUGAAGCCAGAGGAAACUCUGGUGGAGGCUCGCAGCGGUUCUGACGUGCAAAUCGAUCGUCAAAUUUGGGCAUAGGGGCGAAAGACUAAUCGA